rnacentral:rRNA from 1 species
GACGGAGGAUGCAAGUGUUCUCCGGAAUCACUGGGCGUAAAGGGUCUGUAGGUGGGCAAAUAAGUCAACUGUUAAAUCUUGAGGCUCAACCUCAAAAUCGCAGUCGAAACUAUUAGACUAUAGUAUAGUAGGGGUAAAGGGAAUUUGCAGUGGAGCGGUGAAAUGCGUAGAGAUUGGAAAGAACACCGAUGGCGAAGGCACUUUACUGGGCUAUUACUAACACUGAGAGACGAAAGCUAGGGUAGCAAAUGGG